rnacentral:misc_RNA from 1 species
GCUACCCAGAAAGCCUCUUUAGGUAAAGAGAGGAAGCACAGAAAUCUGAGAUUUUGUGAGCAAACACCGCAAACCCAAACAGCAGGCAAAACCCCAGAAAAGCUUUUAAGGAGGAGAAGAUGAAGAAGAUCAGCCAAAAAAGGAAGGUAGAUAAGGAAAUCUGAGGAUUCCUAUCAAGACCCAGAAAGCCCAAUAAGAAUUUAUGGAGAUAAGAGUGGUUGUUGAUUGAUCCAGAGAAAACAAGGAAAACCAUAAGAAAUGCUGUUCAAUUCCAUUUAAGAAAAGAGCCAAAGGGAGAUUUGGAAAUCUUACCAAAUAGGAAAAAAACCCAAAAUCUAAUGUUAUUUAUGUCUUGGUGAUUGAUUGAUUCUAUUUCUAGGUUAUCUUGUUAGUCACAACCAAGGCAGUAAGCACCCACACACACCACCUUUCCUUAUUCAUCUCUCUCUCCCUCUCUUUCACCUUGAAUAAAAAAGCUCUUGGAAGCGGAAGCCCACCACCCAUUUAAAGAAACAAAAUUUUACCCAUGUAUCACCUUAUUAUUAAGAAAACCUCAUCCUUGCUUGUUUUGGUAAAACCCACGACAAACUCCAAACAGAGCAAAUUUAGAUGAAAAAGAAAGCAUUUUAAAAAAUAAAAGAAAAAGAAAAAUCGUUACUGUUAAGAGAGCAAGAAACUUGGAUGGAAGGGAAAGUCCAGGAAAGUAAGAGAAACGAAAAGCGUUUUUUUUAUUUAUUUACUUUUUUUAGCAGUGGGCUUCUUCUCGAUGAGCGACAAAAAUUUUU